CUCAGCGGCGGCGGCACUGGAGCAGCCGUACGCUGCGGCCGGGGCUGGCCUGGCGGCAUGGAGGGGCCGCCGGCGUCCGCGGCCGGGGACGUCUCCCUGCACAACUUCAGCGCCAGGCUGUGGGAGCAGCUCGUCCACUUCCACGUCAUGCGGCUGACGGACUCGCUCUUCCUGUGGGUGGGCGCCACGCCGCACCUGCGCAACCUCGUCGUGGCCAUGUGCAGCCGCUACGACUCCAACCCCGUGUCCACCUCCCUCCUUGGAGACACUUCUGACACGACUUCUACUGGCCUUGCCCAGCGCCUAGCCAGGAAGACCAACAAACAGGUGUUUGUCAGCUAUAACCUUCAAAACACAGACAGUAACUUCGCAUUACUUGUAGAAAACAGGAUCAAAGAAGAAAUGGAGACUUUUCCGGAAAAGUUCUAGCUGAGUGGCAAAAGUGAGAAUUUGUAACUUAUGUACAAUAUACAUUUAAAUAAAUGGAUUGGAUUUCA